rnacentral:rRNA from 1 species
AGUGAACGCUGGCGGUAGGCCUAACACAUGCAAGUCGAACGGCAGCACAGUAAGAGUUUGCUCUUACGGGUGGCGAGUGGCGGACGGGUGAGGAAUACAUCGGAAUCUACUUUUUCGUGGGGGAUAACGUAGGGAAACUUACGCUAAUACCGCAUACGACCUACGGGUGAAAGCAGGGGAUCUUCGGACCUUGCGCGAUUGAAUGAGCCGAUGUCGGAUUAGCUAGUUGGCGGGGUAAAGGCCCACCAAGGCGACGAUCCGUAGCUGGUCUGAGAGGAUGAUCAGCCACACUGGAACUGAGACACGGUCCAGACUCCUACGGGAGGCAGCAGUGGGGAAUAUUGGACAAAGGGCGCAAGCCUGAUCCAGCCAUACCGCGUGGGUGAAGAAGGCCUUCGGGUUGUAAAGCCCUUUUGUUGGGAAAGAAAAGCAGCAGGUUAAUACCCCGCUGUUCUGACGGUACCCAAAGAAUAAGCACCGGCUAACUUCGUG